rnacentral:tRNA from 1 species
GCGGGGGUGCCGGAGCCAGGUCAAUCACGUUCCCCCGUCAGGAUAUUCGGGGUCGUGGACCAGACGGGCACGGUUGAGGGCCGUGUGACUUAGGUCUGCGCGCGUUCGAAUCGCGUCCCCCGCA